AGUGAACGCUGGCGGUAGGCCUAACACAUGCAAGUCGAACGGCAGCACAGUAAGAGCUUGCUCUUACGGGUGGCGAGUGGCGGACGGGUGAGGAAUACAUCGGAAUCUACUUUUUCGUGGGGGAUAACGUAGGGAAACUUACGCUAAUACCGCAUACGACCUACGGGUGAAAGCAGGGGAUCUUCGGACCUCGCGCGAUUGAAUGAGCCGAUGUCGGAUUAGCUAGUUGGCGGGGUAAAGGCCCACCAAGGCGACGAUCCGUAGCUGGUCUGAGAGGAUGAUCAGCCACACUGGAACCGAGACACGGUCCAGACUCCUACGGGAGGCAGCAGUGGGGAAUAUUGGACAAUGGGCGCAAGCCUGAUCCAGCCAUACCGCGUGGGUGAAGAAGGCCUUCGGGUUGUAAAGCCCUUUUGUUGGGAAAGAAAAGCAGCAGGUUAAUACCCCGCUGUUCUGACGGUACCCAAAGAAUAAGCACCGGCUAACUUCGUG
rnacentral:rRNA from 1 species